rnacentral:lncRNA from 1 species
CCCCCUUUCUCUCUCUAUUCGGCUGGUAGCCGGAAUUCGCCCCACCUAACACCGCCAAUGACGCCGCCGCCCGCCGCCUCCACCGUCCGCCGCCGGUGGUGGUCCAAAUGCCACCAAACUAACCACAUCUUCCUUUUUUCAUUCUCUAUCCGAAUCCAUAAGCCAAAACUCUUAAUUCCCCGCCAAUCUCUGCGAAUUAAUCGAAAAUCAGUAAAAAGCCUAUCUUUUUCACUCCUUUUCAAAUUCGUAGAGUUUUGAGCACCUCCUCAUCGCAAAUCUUGCAUAUGCUGAUAGGUAUCGUAAAGAUCUGUCGAUCUUUAUUGGUUUCGAGCCCGAACUCCGAUGGACGGAUUCCGGCAAGUCGCCGGCGAGCGUCCCUUUUCCACUAGUAUUCUCGACCAGAUUAUGCUGGACCCUCAAAGUUUUGCUCAGAACGACUCGAACAGACUUUCUUGUCAGCGUGAUACUAAGGAUUGACGAAUUGUCAAUUUUUAGCAUACGUCGAUAAGAGGGUCUGUUCGUUGCCGGAUAUGUGCUAUCUCCAUCAUAGUUUCAAGGUUUGCAUUGAGUUCCGAAGUGCCGGACGGUGGUGGAAUUCAGUUCCCUUUUCCCCUCGUUUCAUUUCUGUCCUCAGGUUUAGAAUUUACUGAUUUUCUUUAUCUAUUAUUUCUGAUUUCUGAUAUGGGAUAGUACUUUGUUUGGAUGAAAGGGCAUCUGUCAGCUCGGGCCAAAGCAAACUUGGGCCAAACACUUUUGGUCCAUGUGCACAUUUAGGCCCAGGCCCAAGGAUGCUUUUAUACCUAUCUGUCCAGUCAGCUUGUAAGCUGGAAAAAAUAAUAGUAGAAGGAAAGGAUACUUGGGGGUAAAUGGGGAAUUUCAUGAAUUUGUUUUUAAAAGCGGAGGGGUACAACAUUUUCUUUAUGGAGCUGAAUUCUUAGAGGAGGUUAAAAUGAAUAUUUGAGCUAGCUGGAACAGAUUACAUUGAAUUCUGGAAUAUAUUGUAAUUCAGUUUAUAAUUUAAAUUUUAAUAAGAAUACACACAUUAAAAGUUUCCUUACAAUUUGUGAUUUUAUACUAUAAAUGUAUGUUAUUAAGAAUAAAAUGAAAAGUUUAUAGUUAAAGAUAUUUUCAAUAUAUAUCUCAUUCUUUUUUGAAGGAACAAAAAAAAAUCAUAUAAAAUGAAACGUAAUGUGGUUAGUUAUUUAUGUUAUAUACCUACAUAAUUUUCAAAUUAUAAUAUAAAAAUGAGUGUAAUUUCACAUAUUAUAGUAUAAUAUUUAUUUUAUUUUUUAGUUUACAGGAUCAUACUUGUAAGUAGAACAACUUAAUUUGGUAGUUAGAAAGAUUGAACGACAUUUUUUAUUUAGUUUAAAAUUUUAAAUUAUGCAUUGUAUACUAAUUUAUAAUAUAUCAAAUUAAAUAUUAUAUGCAAUUUUUAAUAUAUCAAACUAAAUAUUAAAUAAUUCUUGCAUACCAAUUCAUGCAUUAUUCAUUGCUAAUCGAUUACUAUUUCAUUCGGUUUAUUUUUCUUUUUCUACGUUUGCUAAAAGAGUACAGUUUUGUGGAAUAAAAUUGCAAAAAUAGCUACAAGGACAAGGGCAAAAGAUUGUGGUCCAAUUAGCAAGCAAAUAACACCUAAAUUAGCAGGCGGGUUGGGUGCUACUCCAUAGAGAAGACUAUCGAAGCAGAAAAGCUUCAGUUCCGUACAUUCUUCCUGGUAAAAGUUUUAAUUUCUUGUUUAAUUUCCUCUCCUAAAAUUCUGGCUUUUGCUUUUUGUAACUUCACUAGAUUGUAUGACUCUUUGAUUUGUCAUUUGAAUUUUUAGAGUUAAAUGCAGAAUAAAAUAAAGUUUUUAGGUUUUAAUUCUUUUAAAUUUUUCAGAUUGCUACUACGUUAACUUUUGAAUAUCCAUGAGGUUUGAAAUGAACAAAUAGAAAUUUCUUCUUGUUUUAAGAGUACUAAAAUAUAAUUUGUUUUUGUUGGAAGGUUCAUCAUUUUGGGGAAAUUUUAAUUUUAACCUUCCAGUAACUUUUGCAUAGAUUGUAUUUGUGUUAGGAAACCCAUUAAAUGUAUAUAAAUAUGUAAUUGCGUACUCACAGUAACUAAAACGAGCUAUGGGUUUGAUGAUAAGUUUAGUACCCAUAAAUUUCAAAUACUGGCUUCGCCUACCUGUGAAAGCUAUCUUUCUAGCUAUGUUGUGCGGACUCUCCAAAAUGCGUUUGCUUCCGUGUCCGAUCCUUCAAAAAUGCACUACUUUUGAAAGAUCCGACAAGCACUCAGUAAUAUUUUCGGAGAGUCCGAGCAACAUAGCUUUCAGCGUAUUGUCUCUUCAUCAUAAAUCAAGCCAAAAGAGUACUCCACUCCCCUUUUUGAUAAAGAAUUCAAAAUUCAAUUUUAAGUUUCAUGGUCCCUGCCCACAAACUUGUACUGUAUGCCGAAGAUAUCUCCUUUGUUAACCAACCAAAUUUUUGCUGCUGUGUUUUGGAGAAUGAAGGAAACAGGAAAAAGGUAUUCUCAAAUGAGCAACACUGAUAAAACUGAUCCAUGCAACCCAUAACAUCCUCCGGAACAAUUCUUUACUGUGUUCUCCACCUCUUUCUCAUCAAAAGGCCUUUCCAUUGUAUUCCUUCUCUGAGCAUAAUUAACAUUUGAGGUCUAUUAUCUGUAAACAAUAAGAUUGCCAUGCCAUUCUCAACCAAUAGCUUAGGUCAAUUGCACUUUGUUGUUCAUGUGCCGUUCUUUGGGAAAAUAUGCUGAUUACUGACAAUUGCUUCACUUGCUUAAGUGGAUACAGAAUUUGUUGAGCUCUUCUUCUCUGUUAUGUUUUCUUUGUAUUGUCUUUCAAGUAUUGCAUUUCGAAAGGUCUUUCUUUUGGCUUCAACCAUUAAUCAGGUGAAGUUUUGUGAUUAUCAUGAAAGUUCGGUUUCAUGUCACCCACCAAUUUGGAGACCCUCAGGUGCUUUCUAGAUCUUGCCCACAUGCCGUUGAAGUGCUAUUAGCAGAUCUGCAGCAGUGGAACCAAAAUUGAGGGUUUUCAAUCAUGAUAGAAUGAUCUAACUUGGUUGAAAGAGGUUCCCGUUGGAUGAAAAACACUUCCAUAGUACAAAUUUCUUGUUGAACCCAUCAGUAGCAAGCACGUUGUAUAAGAUGUAUGAAGCAACUAAUUAUAUUAGUCGGGCUGGAUGAUGAACAGGUCUAACGUUUUCUUGUACUAUUUAAUACUUAGCUUAAAGGCUAAUGGGCUGUAUAACCUGUAAUCAGGUUAAGGCAGUGGGUUCUCAAAGCAUACAGUAUAAGAGAUGUAAAGAACCAAAAAUUUUAUCUGUCUGAUUGUCUGAUCUUUAACAUUUUUUCAUCACAUUCAAUCAAUCUAAAUCUUAUCUUACACCAUUGAUGAAAUAUCUGUUUUCAUAGUACACGUCACUAGAUUAAGGUUCAAUGCGUGAAUAUUGAUGUGAAACUGAUGAAAGAAUUUUAAUCAGCACUCUAAAGGCAGUGUUUUGAUUUUGUAGGAUAAAUCACAAAAUAUAACAUGUAGACGUUAUCUACUAAUCUUUUCUUUGUCAAAGCAGAGGUUCAUCUAUAUCUUUUAUUAUGUACCCAUAGUUGUAGGUGAAAAGAGUACAACCCAAGGAUUUUUCUAUCUUAUCUUCUGAUAUCAGUGCUAGAUAUGGCAUUUGGAAAUCGUUCUUCCAAGCUGUAAAGCUUGAAUUCGAUAAAUUGAUAAAGAUUCCGAAUAUGAUACUAAAUUGAUUACAAUCCAAUGGUUGCUAUCUUGGGUGUCUCUUAACCUGUGUGAAUAUUGUUUGAGCGUCCUUGAACUAUUAUGUAUAGCAGCACGAUGCGUUGCAGGUAUGCCUGAAUGUAAUUCUAUUAUUCAUGCCAUCCUUGAUGUCUCUUGACCUGUGUGAAUAUUGUUGGAGCGACCUUUGAACUGUUUUGUAUAGACAUGAAUUCUUUAGUUCUAUCAAAAAAAGUUCUAAAUUCUGUUUAGGUAGAGUGUUUGCAUAAUGUGGUCAUUACUUUUUUUUAUCAUAGUUUUUCUCAUACUUUUGUAUGCUCAUUUAUACAAAUAUGAGUUUUGUUGAGGAAGGUAAAAUUUCAGAUUUUUGUUUAUAUGAAACCACUUUGAGGUCUGCUUCUCACUUUGAGGUCUGUAUAUGGUUUUUGGGUGUUCUAAGUUGUGAACUUUGAGCAUAAAAAGAAGUUCUAUCCUUUACUGUUUUCCAUUUAGUUUUCCCACUAAGUGUCAAUGGUGAAUUACGCAACUCGACCAAACACUAAGUGUGAGUGAGUGAGACGGAUUGCGAAUUAUCUUAAGACCCGUCUCAAAUAAAGGUGAGAGUAAAAUAGUCUAAUACGCAACCAGGACAAGACAAAAAAAUAGCAAACUAUAUAACCAUUCCUCAUUCCAUUUUUGCAGGUCUUGGCAAGCAAGUCUGAAGAAAGUGUUAGAGAGAACAACA